AUUGAACGCUGGCGGCAGGCUUAACACAUGCAAGUCGAGCGGGGUGAUGGUGCUUGCACUAUCACUUAGCGGCGGACGGGUGAGUAAUGCUUAGGAAUCUACCUAUUAGUGGGGGACAACAUCUCGGAAGGGAUGCUAAUACCGCAUACGUCCUACGGGAGAAAGCAGGGGAUCACUUGUGACCUUGCGCUAAUAGAUGAGCCUAAGUCGGAUUAGCUAGUUGGUGGGGUAAAGGCCUACCAAGGCGACGAUCUGUAGCGGGUCUGAGAGGAUGAUCCGCCACACUGGGACUGAGACACGGCCCAGACUCCUACGGGAGGCAGCAGUGGGGAAUAUUGGACAAUGGGGGGAACCCUGAUCCAGCCAUGCCGCGUGUGUGAAGAAGGCCUUAUGGUUGUAAAGCACUUAAGCGAGGAGGAGGCUCUUUUGGUUAAUACCCAAGAUGAGUGGACGUUACUCGCAGAAUAAGCACCGGCUAACUCUGUGCCAGCAGCCGCAGUAA
rnacentral:rRNA from 1 species